AUUGAACGCUAGCGGGAUGCCUUACACAUGCAAGUCGAACGGCAGCACGGACUUCGGUCUGGUGGCGAGUGGCGAACGGGUGAGUAAUGUAUCGGAACGUGCCCAGUAGCGGGGGAUAACUACGCGAAAGCGUAGCUAAUACCGCAUACGCCCUACGGGGGAAAGCAGGGGAUCGCAAGACCUUGCACUAUUGGAGCGGCCGAUAUCGGAUUAGCUAGUUGGUGGGGUAACGGCUCACCAAGGCGACGAUCCGUAGCUGGUUUGAGAGGACGACCAGCCACACUGGGACUGAGACACGGCCCAGACUCCUACGGGAGGCAGCAGUGGGGAAUUUUGGACAAUGGGGGAAACCCUGAUCCAGCCAUCCCGCGUGUGCGAUGAAGGCCUUUCGGGUUGUAAAGCACUUUUGGCAGGAAAGAAACGUCAUGGGUUAAUACCCCGUGAAACUGACGGUACCUGCAGAAUAAGCACCGCUAAUAAC
rnacentral:rRNA from 1 species